UGGGGAAUUUUGGACAAUGGGGGAAACCCUGAUCCAGCCAUCCCGCGUGUGCGAUGAAGGCCUUCGGGUUGUAAAGCACUUUUGGCAGGAAAGAAACGUCGCGGGUUAAUACCCCGCGAAACUGACGGUACCUGCAGAAUAAGCACCGGCUAACUACGUGCCAGCAGCCGCGGUAAUACGUAGGGUGCAAGCGUUAAUCGGAAUUACUGGGCGUAAAGCGUGCGCAGGCGGUUCGGAAAGAAAGAUGUGAAAUCCCAGAGCUUAACUUUGGAACUGCAUUUUUAACUACCGGGCUAGAGUGUGUCAGAGGGAGGUGGAAUUCCGCGUGUAGCAGUGAAAUGCGUAGAUAUGCGGAGGAACACCGAUGGCGAAGGCAACCUCCUGGGAUAACACUGACGCUCAUGCACGAAAGCGUGGGGAGCAAACAGGAUUAGAUACCCUGGUAGUCCACGCCCUAAACGAUGUCAACUAGCUGUUGGGGCCUUCGGGCCUUGGUAGCGCAGCUAACGCGUGAAGUUGACCGCCUGGGGAGUACGGUCGC
rnacentral:rRNA from 1 species